UACGAAGGGGGCUAGCGUUGCUCGGAAUCACUGGGCGUAAAGGGUGCGUAGGCGGGUCUUUAAGUCAGGGGUGAAAUCCUGGAGCUCAACUCCAGAACUGCCUUUGAUACUGAAGAUCUUGAGUUCGGGAGAGGUGAGUGGAACUGCGAGUGUAGAGGUGAAAUUCGUAGAUAUUCGCAAGAACACCAGUGGCGAAAGGCGGCUCACUGGCCCGAUACUGACGCUGGAGGCACGAAAGCGUGGGGAGCAAACAGGG
rnacentral:rRNA from 1 species